rnacentral:lncRNA from 1 species
AAUAUUUCUCCGUGUAAUACUCGCCCACCCGCCAUCUACGCAUAAUAUAGAGAAUAUCUUAAUACCUUCGCAUAAUAAAAAUUCAAUUUUAUCUCAUCAUAAUAUUUAUCCAUACAUAAAGUAUAUCGUUUUUUAAUAAUUUUUCAUCUCUAUCUAUACAUUUCUUAAAUAUAAAGUAUAUCUUUUUCAUUUUCACUAUACGUUUUCUCAAAUAUAUUACUUUUAUUUUCUCAAAUAUAUUAUUUGAGUAUUAUUUUAUUUGUUCUUCACCGUCGUCCCCAAUCGCCUUCGCCACAGUUGUAAAGGUAUCAUAAUAUAAUUUCCUACUUAAUUCGUUUUUCAUAUACGUUGUUUUAUUAUUUAAGAUUUGUAAAUGCUAAUAAGUUUGCAUCUUCAUAACUUUUUAUCUCUCAUAUU